rnacentral:piRNA from 1 species
UGCAUGUUUCACUUCAUUCCACAGUUGUG